GUUUUGAACAAUCUUGUCAAAAGAAAUUGGUUCUAGACUUAGAUAGAAGUUUCCAGAGAGAUCAAGGGAAACCAACUCACUGAGUUGCUCAAAACCAUAUGGAAUUGAACCAGUAAUAUUAUUCCAUCGAAGAUCCAAGUACUGCAGGUGCUUAAAUUUCCCCAUUGAGGAUGGGAGUUUUCCUUGCAAUCCACAGGAAUAGAAUAUGAGCGAUGACAGAGAAGAAGACAGAUUCAUCAAGGAAUCGGGAACAACUAGUGACAUGUUUACCCAAGUCAAAUCAAGUUCUCUAAGCUUGGUUAGGUUUCGAACAAGCUUGUCAAAAGAAAUUGGUUCUAGACUCAGAUAGUCAUUGUCAAAGAGAUCAAGUGAAACCAACUCAGUGAGUUGAUCAAAAUCAUAUGGAAUUGGACCAGAAAGAUUGUUCCCUCCAAGAUCCAAGCACUGCAGGUGCUUAAAUUUCCCCAUUGAGGAUGGGAGUUUUCCUUGCAAUCCACACUCAAUGAGUUUGAGUGAUGACAGAGAAGAGGACAGAUUCAUCAAGGAAUCGGGAACAACUAGUGACAUGUUUACCCCACUCAAAUCGAGUUCUCUAAGCUU
rnacentral:lncRNA from 1 species